AUUUAUGAUUCCAAUCCAAGGGUAUAUAUGUAAAUCAAGCAUAUAAAGGCGUGAAUAAAAUAAAGCAUAGAGAUCAUCUGAGUAUCCAUGACGAGGUUGCACGUGUGGCACAGCUUUUAAGCAGAUUAAUAACUAGUGAUCAUCGAUCUAAUGAAACAAAUGAUUAUUGCCCUUUUGAUUUAGCGGUUAAUCGCAUGUGCCAGCUCAGACGGUCACAUGAUAAAGACACGUGGGACCACACCCCGAACCGAACCCAUUUCCGAGCCACUUUGAUUAUUUUUGGAAAUGCACGUAGCCGCAUGUGCGAGGGAUUCUGUCAGCAGUGCACGAUGUUGGUUCCUCCAACUUUCAUCAGACGGCUGUGACUGGUUGUCUCACUGGCAGUACUAUAUGGGAAGUCAUCGAAUUUAGGGCGAUUUAUUAUUUGACAGUUGAGGAGAUGAAGCGUUAUGGGGCAAAACGAGGGGGACACACGUGUGCUUCGCUGUCUUAUGAUUCGGAAUCGAGUGUAGAACUUCGAGCUCCACGUCCCUUCCACGUGAAGGUGGUGACGCUCGAACCAACUUGCUUUUAGUUUUCGACCCCUUCCUGUCCUUUUUACAUUAAUGUUCUUUCUUUAUCGAUCCCUUCGUGGUUUGCCCAUGUUUAUUUUUAUAUACUAUUAGUACAUGAGAACCCAUCUUAAACUCUUUGAAAUACUUGUGCAAAAGUGUUAUCAAAUGUAAUAACGUAUAUUUGAUGCGUUGCUAUA